AGCGGCGGACGGGUGAGUAACACGUGGGUAACCUGCCCAAGAGACUGGGAUAACACCUGGAAACAGAUGCUAAUACCCGAUAACAACACUAGACGCAUGUCUAGAGUUUGAAAGAUGGUUCUGCUAUCACUCUUGGAUGGACCUGCGGUGCAUUAGCUAGUUGGUAAGGUAACGGCUUACCAAGGCAAUGAUGCAUAGCCGAGUUGAGAGACUGAUCGGCCACAUUGGGACUGAGACACGGCCCAAACUCCUACGGGAGGCAGCAGUAGGGAAUCUUCCACAAUGGACGAAAGUCUGAUGGAGCAACGCCGCGUGAGUGAAGAAGGGUUUCGGCUCGUAAAGCUCUGUUGGUAGUGAAGAAAGAUAGAGGUAGUAACUGGCCUUUAUUUGACGGUAAUUACUUAGAAAGUCACGGCUAACUACGUGCCAGCAGCCGCGGUAAUACGUAGGUGGCAAGCGUUGUCCGGAUUUAUUGGGCGUAAAGCGAGUGCAGGCGGUUCAAUAAGUCUGAUGUGAAAGCCUUCGGCUCAACCGGAGAAUUACAUCAGAAACUGUUGAACUUGAGUGCAGAAGAGGAGAGUGGAACUCCAUGUGUAGCGGUGGAAUGCGUAGAUAUAUGGAAGAACACCAGUGGCGAACGCGGCUCUCUGGUCUGCAACUGACGCUGAGGCUCGAAAGCAUGGGUAGCGAACAGGAUUAGAUACCCUGG
rnacentral:rRNA from 1 species